GAUGAACGCUAGCGGCAGGCCUAAUACAUGCAAGUCGAACGAGAUUGUUGUAGCAAUAUGACAUGAAAGUGGCGCACGGGUGCGUAACACGUAUGCAAUCUACCUUUGAUUGGGGAAUAGCUUCGAGAAAUCGGAAUUAAUACCCCAUAACAUAAUUGAAUGGCAUCAUUUGAUUAUCAAACCUCCGGGGAUCAGAGAUGAGCAUGCGCAACAUUAGCUAGUUGGUAAGGUAACGGCUUACCAAGGCUACGAUGUUUAGGGGGUCUGAGAGGAUGAUCCCCCACACUGGUACUGAGACACGGACCAGACUCCUACGGGAGGCAGCAGUAGGGAAUAUUGGUCAAUGGAGGCAACUCUGAACCAGCCAUGCCGCGUGCAGGAUGACGGCCCUCUGGGUUGUAAACUGCUUUUAUACGGGAAGAAAAAAUGCUACGUGUAGCACAUUGACGGUACCGUAAGAAUAAGGAUCGGCUAACUCCGUGCCAGCCGCCGCCGUAACAC
rnacentral:rRNA from 1 species